AACUCCACAAGCAUUAAGCGCCUAGGCUUGCCAGGAUCGUGGGGCAUUCUGGCUUGGUGUGCUUCUGAGUGUCCCAGUUAAGAGUGCUGUACAUCUGGAGCUACACAUUCUUGGAAUAGAGCCAUGAGGAUUGAAGAUACAAAUGGAGGAAGAAUUGGAGGAGGAGUCCAGUGAUAGCUUUCCAAGCUCUGGUGCCUCUCCUCCAUGCUGUUCAUCCUGACCUGCUGAUGGCAUCCAGAAAGACUUCCAGGUCUGUUACCCAUCUCUGCUAAAAGGCAGGAGCUCAGACAGAAGCCUGCUCUGAAGAAGGCAAUGAAACUAUAUGGGCUAUGGUUUGAGAAGAGAAGAAAAGCCCAAGGCAGGUAGGAAAGAAGAGGCUGCAUGAAAGAAAGAAGUCCAAGAAAAUCAUUAAAGUUGAGGCCAUUGGUGGGCAUGGAGCAGUUCACACUGGGCCCUCACUCAUAAUCAGUGGCUUCAGUGUGGAGGAACACACUGGAAAAGGAACUCGGAUGGAAAGGUAAAGUAAAAGAUG
rnacentral:lncRNA from 1 species